GUUGACAGACCUGCAGAAGGCUGGAGUCUUCUAGUUGAUGAAGAAUGACACUGCACUGCUGUUAAUAAAGCCUUUGAGUUUCUCUGCCUGCUCCCCAGCCAGGGGUCCUUUCCAACCAAGAACCUAUGGGGUCUAGUCUUCCCCUACACUGCCUUUCACUCACCACUGGGCUGCCUGCUUUAAGCUAGGAAUCAAGAGACAGUGGCCUUCCACAGGUGCCUCGACAGGUGCCUCAGCUUCCAAACAGACAC
rnacentral:lncRNA from 10 species